GAUGAACGCUGGCGGCGUGCCUAAUACAUGCAAGUCGAGCGAACAGACGAGGAGCUUGCUCCUCUGACGUUAGCGGCGGACGGGUGAGUAACACGUGGAUAACCUACCUAUAAGACUGGGAUAACUUCGGGAAACCGGAGCUAAUACCGGAUAAUAUAUUGAACCGCAUGGUUCAAUAGUGAAAGACGGUUUUGCUGUCACUUAUAGAUGGAUCCGCGCCGCAUUAGCUAGUUGGUAAGGUAACGGCUUACCAAGGCAACGAUGCGUAGCCGACCUGAGAGGGUGAUCGGCCACACUGGAACUGAGACACGGUCCAGACUCCGACGGGAGGCAGCAGUAGGGAAUCUGCCGCAAUGGGCGAAAGCCUGACGGAGCAACGCCGCGUGAGUGAUGAAGGUCUUCGGAUCGUAAAACUCUGUUAUUAGGGAAGAACAAAUGUGUAAGUAACUAUGCACGUCUUGACGGUACCUAAUCAGAAAGCCACGGCUAACUACGG
rnacentral:rRNA from 1 species